UACGAAGGGUGCAAGCGUUACUCGGAAUUACUGGGCGUAAAGGGCGCGUAGGCUGUUUCGUAAGUCAGACGUGAAAUCCCGGGGCUUAACUCCGGACGUGCAUUUGAAACUGCGAGACUAGAGUGCAGUAGAGGAUGGUAGAAUUCCCAGUGUAGAGGUGAAAUUCGUAGAUAUUGGGAAGAACACCGGUGGCGAAGGCGGCGCUCUGGACCGAGACUGACGCUGAGGCGCGAAAGCGUGGGGAGCAAACAGG
rnacentral:rRNA from 1 species